AUGCAGCAGAGCUGCAGUCCUGGCCGGUAUUCGCCAGAGGGAGAGUUGGAGUGUCGGGAAUGUCCAGAGGGAUACGUUUGCCCAGACGGACGGAACAAGCAGCAUUGUUCGGCAGGUCAGGAGCCAAAUCCAAGCCGCACUCAUUGUGUAACCUGCGCUCUUGGUUCUUUCUCAACUGAAGGCACUCUGAUAUGCCAGCCCUGCCCACCAGGACACUACUGUCCUCACAUUGGUACUGUCCAGCCUCUGCCUUGCCCACCUGGUUCGUGUACUAGUGCCCUGGGGCAGAGUGAGUGCCGAAGGUGCAGUGGAAGCUCUUGCUGCUCAGGUGUGGUGGGUCCAAUCCAGCAGGAACGUGAUUCCUCUGGGUCACCUGGAGUCCCACAGUGCCAGCACUGCCCUUCAGGUCACUUUUGCGCAGAAGCCCCACCAUGCCCAGCAGGGAGCGUCAAGCCCAGAGAGGGACUUCACACACCCAGCAGCAGCUCAUCGUGCUUGCCAGGAAUUGGAUUGUGUUUGAAGUGCCCUGCUGGGUAUUUCUGCCCUGCCGGAGCAAGUUAUCCAGUCCCAUGCCAGCCAGGUACAUAUAAUCCUCUCCAAGGACAGGAUGAAGCCACUGACUGCAGAGCUUGCCUAGCAGGGAGAGCUUGUACUCAGGCUGGCUUGGCCCAGCCUGACUCCGAAUGCGUACCAGGGUACGUGUGCCCAGUGGGGUCAUCCAGCCCUCAUUCUCCAAGCAAUGCCUGUCCUCCAGGAACAGUUGGCAAUCAGUUCAACCUCUUUGAUAAGUCCCAGUGUGAAAUAUGCCCUGCUGGAUUCGUCUGUGGGAGAGGAACAGGGGGGAGACGGAAGCCUCCUGCUCCAUGCCCAGUUGGUCACUACUGCCCACCAGGUACAAAGCAUCCAAUGCAGCGCAAGUGUGCCCCAGGUACCUGGAGCAAUAGGACAAGCCUGGCCUCCGAAGAGGAGUGUUUGCCAUGUCCUUCAGGCUGGUUUUGCGUAGGAGGAGCUCGUGUGCCUUCUGGGAGGUGUAGCUCAGGGCAUUACUGCCCCCAGGGUACACGGAGAGGCACCCAGUACCCCUGCCCUGCAGGAACAUAUAGUACCAGGCUGGGAAAUGGCAGGGUGGAGGAGUGUACUGCCUGCCCUGCAGGGACUUUUUGCACCAGCGGUACCUCCAAGCCAGUUCUGUGCCCAGUAGGAACCUAUCGUAUGGAACAUGGUGCCAAGUUGGCUGUAGAGUGCAUCCCUUGUCCUGGAGGGUAUUACUGCCCUGAGCUUGGCACUGUUACUCCUCGAGCAUGUGGUGCUGGCAACUUCUCAGGCCGUGGUCAAUCCCUUUGUAGAAACUGUCCAGAGGGUACAUUCUGCAAUGAGACAGGCCUUGCUGAACCCAGGGUGUGUCCCAAAGGGCAUUUUUGCUUGGCUGGAAGUUCCCUGCCUCUCCCAUGUCCUGUGGGAACUUACACAGAUGUAGCCAGAGCAGGUUCCUGCAAGCCCUGCCCAGCAGGCAUGUACUGCAGCAUGGCUGGUCUGACUGAGCCAGAAGGACCUUGCCAGCCAGGGUAUUACUGUGUUCAAGGGUCCAGCAGYUCCUCACCUGUGAGUGCUGAACAUUUUGCAUGGCACCAGUCAUUUUGGCACUGA
rnacentral:lncRNA from 1 species